UACGUAGGGGGCAAGCGUUGUCCGGAAUCAUUGGGCGUAAAGAGCGCGUAGGCGGCCCUGUAAGUCCGCUGUGAAAGUCAAGGGCUCAACCCUUGAAUGCCGGUGGAUACUGCAGGGCUAGAGUCCGGAAGAGGCGAGUGGAAUUCCUGGUGUAGCGGUGAAAUGCGCAGAUAUCAGGAGGAACACCAAUGGCGAAGGCAGCACUCUGGGACGUGACUGACGCUGAGACGCGAAAGCGUGGGGAGCAAACAGG
rnacentral:rRNA from 1 species